GGUGUCAGUACGUGUCUGUUUAAUGAAUGAAGAUGUUUAGAAGGUGUAGGGCCUGGGCGUUGCUUGCUCAGCAGAAACCCCCAGGCCCAUUGUAACCAUGUGUCCUUCUGGCUCCCUUCUGGGCAGGCCGCCCAGCUACUGGGAUUUGCAACGAUCUGGGCCUGGCCAGCCCCCAUUCCCCCUUAUCCCACGAGAAGAACAUCCUGUCUUACGGGGACACAGAGCUCCUCCAUGUGAGCUACUGUUCCUGGAACGCUAGUCGUACCAAGGACAGCCCUUUGGCAGGCAUGCAGCCUUCCUUCCUCUGCCUGCUUAAGCAAGCUUCUCUUAGGGGGCUGUUGCGGGCGUAUGCAUACUUCCAUCCAGCCGGCUGCCCACUGGACACUCUCCCUACAAGUAAGAAGAGAAAAGAAGGAAGGCAGCCUGUGGUGGAUGUGGCGUGGGAAAGCGAGCAGGACGGGGGGCUGGAGAGAACGGAUGGAUGGAAUCCGCAUCCGCAGGGCACCUGCCGCCCCCCCCCUUUUCUCCACUCACUCCCGUUCCCUGAUGAUCACAUCCCACACUCUCCAUUGGCUUCAGCCCAGACCUCUCUCUUCUGAGCUCCAGACACUCAUGGCCAACUUCUUACUGGACAGUUCUACCUGAUGUCCUGCCAUCGUCCUUCACACUUGGCGUGUCUAAAACUGAAAGACUAAGAGUAAACUCCUUGUUUCCCUGUGUCCCUACUUCCAUUCCUGCUCUUCUUCCCGUGUUCCUGGGAACGGUGUCUCCACCCCUCCAACCUGUUGGAUCCGUCUCCUUACUAUCUCCACUGUCUCCCCAUUUUCUUCCCCACUGCCAGUGGCUUGGUUCAGGCCCUCAUUAUUGUUCACCUGCAUUGCCACAAUACCCUCCUUUGUGACCAGAUGUCCCUGCGCCCAGUCCUGCCCCUGUCAACCAUCCUUGGCACAGUGAUCUUGCUACAGCCCUGCUGUUGGGGGUGUGACUCCUGGACCGGCAGCACCCGCAUCACCUGGGAGCUUGUUAGAAAUGCAGAAUCUCGGGACCCAGAUUCUCUGCCAGUGAGGAUCCAUCUGAAGACAGAAACACCGAUAAUUUGAACAAUUCGAUUCCCUUUAUAUGACAUACAUGCUGUAUGUAACUUUUUGAGACUUGAGUUUUCUGCUCAGUAUAACACCUUUGUGAUUCAUUCAUGUUGUUUCCUGAGUAGGUUUCCAUUGUAUGGAUCCAUACAAUUUAUUUGUCCAUUUACUCAUUUGUUAUAUUAAAAUUGCUUUAUUCAAGUAUAGUCUUAAUGGACUGUAUGUAAAUUUAAAAAAUAAUUAAUAAACAAACAGUAAUGAGUUAUAA
rnacentral:lncRNA from 1 species